GUGGGGAAUAUUGGGCAAUGGGCGAAAGCCUGACCCAGCAACGCCGCGUGAAGGAAGAAGGUCUUCGGAUCGUAAACUUCUAUCCUUGGUGAAGAUAAUGACGGUAGCCGAGAAGGAAGCCCCGGCUAACUACGUGCCAGCAGCCGCGGUAAUACGCAGGGGGCAAGCGUUGUCCGGAAUGAUUGGGCGUAAAGGGCGCGUAGGCGGCCUGGUAAGUCUGGAGUGAAAGUCCUGCUUUUAAGGUGGGAAUUGCUUUGGAUACUGUCGGACUUGAGUGCAGGAGAGGUAAGUGGAAUUCCCGGUGUAGCGGUGAAAUGCGUAGAGAUCGGGAGGAACACCAGUGGCGAAGGAGACUUACUGGACUGUAACUGACGCUGAGGCGCGAAAGUGUGGGGAGCAAACAGGAUUAGAAACCCCUGUAGUCC
rnacentral:rRNA from 1 species